rnacentral:rRNA from 1 species
CAAUAGCGUAUAUUAAAGUUGUUGCAGUUAAAAAGCUCGUAGUUGGAUUUCUGGUGGGAGCGAUCGGUCUGGCGCUUAGCGCGAGUACUUGCAUCGUCUCCGGCCAUCCUUGGGGAGAGUCUGUCUGGCAUUAAGUUGUCGGGCAGAGGAUCCUCAUCGUUUACUGUGAAAAAAUUAGAGUGUUCAAAGCAGGCUUAUGCCGUUGAGUAUAUUAGCAUGGAAUAAUAAGAUAGGACUUUGGUACUAUUUUGUUGGUUUGCGCACCAAAGUAAUGAUUAAUAGGGACAGUUGGGGGUAUUCGUAUUCCGUUGUCAGAGGUGAAAUUCUUGGAUUUACGGAAGACGAACUACUGCGAAAGCAUUUACCAAGGAUGUUUUCAUUAA